UCCGCCACCCCGCGUCCUCGGCGCCGCCCGCCCCGUGCAGGGAGGUGCGGAGAGGACGGAGCCAGGCUGCACCCGGCAGUGCCCAGCAGGGGGACCGGAGGCACUGGGCACACGCUGCAGCGCUACUCAUCGGAUCACUGCGGGGACAGACGGGGACCAUGUGGAAGCGGACCAGUGCAGAUAAAAGACUGGUGAUGUUUCUUACUGGUGCUUGAAAACAAACACUCCAAAGCCCACGGAAAGAUCACCACCUCCAACCACAAAGCUACCAGAGGAACUGUAGAGCAUAACAGCUUCUAUAGCUACUGCUAUUAGAACUUUUUGAUCUCAAGUGCCUGCAAAGAUCACUCAAUCUGUCAGGCCUCCCCUGCCUCAAUUCCAACCUUCCCCUCAGCGAGCAGCUUUCUACCUCAGUCUUUAUUUUCUGAAAAAUCCUCAGGUGUGGCAUUUUGAAUCUGCCAACUCUGGUAUUCUUGAGCAACUCCAUCCUGUAGAGGACUGGAGGGAGAGCUUUUCUUCACACCUUGCUGUGUAUGAAAUCUACACUUGAACUGGACUCGAGAUGGGCAGAAAUGUAGCUGAGCAGAGCCUCCAGCAGCUCAGCCCUUUCCUUCAAACAAUGAAGAUGGCUUUAAUAUUCGUAAGUCAGAAAUCUCGUAUCAAAACUUAAUUCUGGUAUGGACGCAGCCUCGCUGUGGAAGACGUGGCAGGUGUGGUCUUUGAGUCACCACAGGUGUGGGACACGUGAAGUAAUCUGGACGUGUUUCAAUUUCUGUGUAUUUUUCCCCGUUUCUCUGAUCAUUUCUCUGUAUUGCUGCAUAUGGCAGGGAUUGCUGUCCUGGCCCAGAGCUCUGUUCCCUCAUGGGCUGCACUCGUUUUGCUGUCCCAUCAUUUGGGUUGCACAGGCCAUCCACGGCCAGUGUUCCCAUCCUCCUGGGCCUCCACACACAUGGCAGUUAGCAAGAAAGAGCAAAGUUGUUCAACCUUGUCCUAAAGUUAUCAAUCUGUUCAUCCAACCUGUGCCUUGGUCGCAGUGGCAGCGUGCCGUUAGCAAUGCCGUUCAUUGUUUCAUGAGAUUCAGUGUUAGUCAUUUUAGAAUGCCCAUCCCUGCGAUGUAUUCUGGGGCGGGGACAGUCAUCACAGGAUGCAGUCGUUGGGGGAGGUUUCCUAUUCUCAUUUCUAUUUGUGUUUGUACAGCUUCAGUUUGUUUCCCUCCCAGCCCUAUAAUAAUUACCAGUUGUCCUUCACGUUUCUUGGGGUUCCCAUAUGUUAAGGAGGUCUCUGCUCCGGGGUCAUUUAAGGCUCUUACAGUUUGCGAGGACCCGUUUUUCCAAAAUAUUUGGAGCUGCACGAGGGGUUGUUGGUCCUGCACCCGUUGCGUUGGAGCUUGGCCAUCAUUUCAUUCUUGUCUUUACGUGGAGCUGCUUCCCUAACCUCCUUCCAAGGAUACAAACUGGAACAUGGUUCCCAAUCCUUCUCCCCUAGAGCAGCUGAUCCUCCCGCGUUGGGCCCUGUGAGCAGAUGAGAGUCCCACUGAGGCUCUCAAGGGAGUGCAGUAGCUGGAAUUGUUCCUGGGCUGUUUGCUUUAGAAUGUGGCACUUUCUUGCUAGGUUUCUUAACCCCUCUCAGUUUGUGCAUCCUCUGUAAUUCAGGAAUUGGAAAACCAUCCGUCUUAUUGUGAGGCAUCCUGUCUUGUAAUAAAGCUGUAAACACUUAUUUUCAAGAAAUCCUAUUUUCACUGCCUUUCUGCUCUUCCCACUUGUCCAUUCUCCCCUGCCAUCUCCUGCUUUCCCCUGCCCCAUUAGCUCUGCUUUUCUUACCUGUGUCCCUUCUUCUCUUCUGCCCUCUCUCUCCUCCCCUCUCAUUCAUCACAUUUCUGUUCUCCUGGCUUACAAUUUCCCUUCAACUUUGUGGUGGGCUGCCAGGGGAUUCUGUUGGCAGCCUGGAGCAGGGACAGCACAGGGAUAGGGAAGGGAAGGGAAGGAAACAGGAGAGGGAGAGGGGUGGGAUAGGGAAACAUGUAGGGGUAGGGGCAGGACGAGUGAUAGGGACAGGGGCAGGAGAGAUGGGCAGGAGAG